GACGAACGCUGGCGGCGUGCUUAACACAUGCAAGUCGAACGGAAAGGCCCUGCUUUUGUGGGGUGCUCGAGUGGCGAACGGGUGAGUAACACGUGAGUAACCUGCCCUUGACUUUGGGAUAACUUCAGGAAACUGGGGCUAAUACCGGAUAGGAGCUCCUGCUGCAUGGUGGGGGUUGGAAAGUUUCGGCGGUUGGGGAUGGACUCGCGGCUUAUCAGCUUGUUGGUGGGGUAGUGGCUUACCAAGGCUUUGACGGGUAGCCGGCCUGAGAGGGUGACCGGCCACAUUGGGACUGAGAUACGGCCCAGACUCCUACGGGAGGCAGCAGUGGUGAAUAUUGCACAAUGGGCGGAAGCCUGAUGCAGCAACGCCGCGUGCGGGAUGACGGCCUUCGGGUUGUAAACCGCUUUCGCCUGUGACGAAGCGUGAGUGACGGUAAUGGGUAAAGAAGCACCGGCUAACUAC
rnacentral:rRNA from 1 species